rnacentral:rRNA from 1 species
UACGGAGGGUGCGAGCGUUUGUCCGGAAUCAUUGGGCGUAAAGAGCUCGUAGGCGGUCUGUCGCGUCUGCUGUGAAAACCUAGGGCUUAACUCUGGGCGUGCAGUGGGUACGGGCAGGCUAGAGUGCGGUAGGGGAGACUGGAAUUCCUGGUGUAGCGGUGAAAUGCGCAGAUAUCAGGAGGAACACCGGUGGCGAAGGCGGGUCGUCUGGGCCGACUACUGACGCUGAGAAGCGAAAGCAUGGGGAGCGAACAGG